UUGACGGUAGCUGUACGGAGCCCUGAGUUGUAGUGGGCUGGGUGAGCGCGAUGGAGAAGUUAUUUGAGAAGUUGUUCAUACCAGAGCGGGAGCAGGUACAUUUGGGAGUGCACUGUUUGACUGGCGAUGCGCAUUCUUGGUGGAGGGGGAUGAGGCAGAUGCGAGGAUUGGUGGCAUUACAGAUGAAGUGGGAUGGGUUCUAAGGAAUGUUGUACGGGGCGUAUUUCCCAAACAGCGUGAAGCAGAAACUCGAGGAGGACCUGAAGAAGCUACAGCAGAGAGAGCGAUUAGUUCAGGAGUACACCCGUAAGUUUACUCGGCAUUUGAACUGUGUGCCGUUUGUAGCGAGGGAUGAAG
rnacentral:lncRNA from 1 species